AUUGAACGCUGGCGGCAGGCCUAACACAUGCAAGUCGCACGAGUGGCGGACGGGUGAGUAAUGUCUGGGAAACUGCCUGAUGGAGGGGGAUAACUACUGGAAACGGUAGCUAAUACCGCAUACCAUCAGAUGUGCCCAGAUGGGAUUAGCUUGUUGGUUGGGUAACGGCUCACCAAGGCGACUAUCCCUAGCUGGUCUGGGAGGAUGACCGGCCAAACUGGAACGGAGGCACGGUCCAGACUCCUACGGGAGGCAGCAGUGGGGAAGAUGGCACAAUGGGCGCAAGCCGGAUGGAGACAUGCCGCGUGUAUGAAGAAGGCCUUCGGGUUGUAAAGUACUUACAGCGGGGAGGCGUUACCCGCAGAAGAAGCACCGGCUAACUCCGUGCCAGCAGCCGCGGUAAUAC
rnacentral:rRNA from 1 species